GAUGAACGCUGGCGGCGUGCCUAAUACAUGCAAGUCGAGCGAACGGACGAGGAGCUUGCUCCUCUGACGUUAGCGGCGGACGGGUGAGUAACACGUGGAUAACCUACCUAUAAGACUGGGAUAACUUCGGGAAACCGGAGCUAAUACCGGAUAAUAUAUUGAACCGCAUGGUUCAAUAGUGAAAGACGGUUUUGCUGUCACUUAUAGAUGGUUCCGCGCCGCAUUAGCUAGUUGGUAAGGUAACGGCUUACCAAGGCAACGAUGCGUAGCCGACCUGAGAGGGUGAUCGGCCACACUGGAACUGAAACACGGUCCAGACUCCUACGGGAGGCAGCAGUAGGGAAUCUUCCGCAAUGGGCGAAAGCCUGACGGAGCAACGCCGCGUGAGUGAUGAAGGUCUUCGGAUCGUAAAACUCUGUUAUUAGGGAAGAACAAAUGUGUAAGUAACUAUGCACGUCUUGACGGUACCUAAUCAGAAAGCCACGGCUAACUACGUG
rnacentral:rRNA from 1 species